GACUCUCUCUGCUCUCCCACUGCAGCAACGACGGACAAAACCAAUGGAGGCUGAAAGCUGUUUCCAAACGCUGCUGCUUUGUGUAACUGUAGGAGCUUUCACAGAAGUAUCUCUGCAAGGACAGAAAGGCUGAAAUCAGCUCAGACAUGAAGGCAAACUACUGCAAGAAACCAACGAUAAAAUCGAAAGCAAACUUCGGCCAAGCCACGAAUCAAGUUGAAAUGAAAAGAAAUCACUUUCAUGGUGAACAAGAUUGACCACAAAGGGGUUUGGCACAGUUUAACUGUUGCACUUUAAGCAUGCAUCAUUACUUUAAUAUGAAUUAAGUUCUAUCUGUCCAAUACAGUCAAGCACGCGGUUCUUUACGUCCCUUUGUUUUGUCAGGCUGAGCCCUGCUGAGCCAUCACACCGAACACACAACACGAGCUGCACUCAGGUCUGGAUCUGAAAGCACUCAGAUGUGUGCAGCCCCCGUCUGUUAGCAGCAAAGAGCCCCUCCAGCUGCACGAGGCUCCCACACAUACCUGCAGGACUGGAGCCCAGGAACGAAAGCCCCAGGCCAUCCAGCAUCACAGCACCUCCUCACAUCUGCACUACUUUGGUCCAAAAGUUUCGUCCUCAGCCUCCAACGCUGACACACCAGGGUGGACCUCCAUGUGUGCAUCUCACUCCUAAUGCUUAAUUACCUUGAGCACAGAGAUAUCCACACCGCUCUGGAAAGAAAUCAAUUCUCCCUUUGCUCUGAGGGAUAAAUGCAUGUAUUCCAUAAUCAGCCUGAGAGAACAGACAUGGGGGAUAGAUACAUCUGGGAAGCAUAUGAGGAACCUUUUCAUAUAUAUAUAUAUAAUUAUUUUGUGAAGCACCUCUCUCAAACCCACCUUUAGGUAUUUUUCCUUCAUUUGCACGCUGGAAAAGUUGACUGAUGUUUUCAGUUUAUAAGAUAUUAAAUAAUAACCACCCGGUUGCAUUACUUGAAUGCUUUUCAUGCCUAGAAUCCCCCACUACCCCUUAUACACCUUGUCUGCAGUGCUUCUUUGACAUCCUCAUACCCUGCUCCUGCCAUUAGCCCUGGGAUUCAGUUCUCCCAACAUGGACGUGAGGCCGUCUCAGGGGUUCUACAGAGCACACAAACACCUUUCUAGGACAGAAAGUGAAGAAGGAUAUCACAUUUAGCUGGAAAGUCACCGGGACCAGCAAGGGGGCAUGGAGCAACCAGGAGCAUUCAGACAUGUUUCAGUGCUGAAAUGGCUGAUUUACACUGCAAGCACAAAAGCACUUUCAGGCAAACAUCACCUUUUGAUGGUGGCAACACAAGAGUGCAAGGAACACUGAAACCUUAUCUUCAGGGUGUCCUUUCCAUGUUAUAAACGACCCAAUAUUUUUCCAUUUUGACUGAAAAUUCAACUCCUGGGUGGAAAAAAAAAAAAUGGGGAAAUAAAAACAGGCAACUCUU